GACGAACGUUGGCGGCGUGCUUAAUACAUGCAAGUCAACUGAAGCACCGGUAGUAAUACUGGUGUGGAGGUGGCGCACGGGUGAGUAACACGUAGGUAAUCUGCCUUCAGGUCUGACAUAACCCCGAGAAAUCGGGGCUAAUAGCAGAUGAUGCAGCGGCUUGACAUCAAGACAGUUGUUAAAGCUUCGGCGCCUGAAGAUGAGCCUGCGUCCGAUUAGCUAGUUGGCGGAGUAAUAGCCCACCAAGGCGACGAUCAGUAGCUGGUCUGAGAGGAUGAUCAGCCACACUGGAACUGAGACACGGUCCAGACUCCUACGGGAGGCAGCAGUAAGGAAUAUUGCUCAAUGGGAGAAAUCCUGAAGCAGCAACGCCGCGUGAGGGAUGAAGGGCUUUUGCUCGUAAACCUCUGUAGUGAGGGAAAAAUUCCAUUCUAUGGAAUAUGAUGGUA
rnacentral:rRNA from 1 species